CUCUCAGGACGAACGCUGGCGGCGUGCUUAACACAUGCAAGUCGAACGAUGAAGCCCUUCGGGGUGGAUUAGUGGCGAACGGGUGAGUAACACGUGGGCAAUCUGCCCUUCACUCUGGGACAAGCCCUGGAAACGGGGUCUAAUACCGGAUAACACUCUGUCCCGCAUGGGACGGGGUUAAAAGCUCCGGCGGUGAAGGAUGAGCCCGCGGCCUAUCAGCUUGUUGGUGGGGUAAUGGCCUACCAAGGCGACGACGGGUAGCCGGCCUGAGAGGGCGACCGGCCACACUGGGACUGAGACACGGCCCAGACUCCUACGGGAGGCAGCAGUGGGGAAUAUUGCACAAUGGGCGAAAGCCUGAUGCAGCGACGCCGCGUGAGGGAUGACGGCCUUCGGGUUGUAAACCUCUUUCAGCAGGGAAGAAGCGAAAGUGACGGUACCUGCAGAAGAAGCGCCGGCUAACUACGUGCCAGCAGCCGCGGUAAUACGUAGGGCGCAAGCGUUGUCCGGAAUUAUUGGGCGUAAAGAGCUCGUAGGCGGCUUGUCACGUCGGAUGUGAAAGCCCGGGGCUUAACCCCGGGUCUGCAUUCGAUACGGGCUAGCUAGAGUGUGGUAGGGGAGAUCGGAAUUCCUGGUGUAGCGGUGAAAUGCGCAGAUAUCAGGAGGAACACCGGUGGCGAAGGCGGAUCUCUGGGCCAUACUACGCUAGAGNAAGCG
rnacentral:rRNA from 1 species